AUUCCCGCGUCUCGGCAGGCCUAACACAUCCAAGUCUAGCGGUAACAGAAAGAAAGCUUGCUUNCUUUGCUGACGAGCGGCGGACGGGUGAGUAAUGCCUGGGAAUAUACCCUGAUGUGGGGGAUAACUAUUGGAAACGAUAGCUAAUACCGCAUAAUCUCUUCGGAGCAAAGAGGGGGACCUUCGGGCCUCUCGCGUCAGGAUUAGCCCAGGUGGGAUUANCUAGUUGGUGGGGUAAUGGCUCACCAAGGCGACGAUCCCUAGCUGGUCUGAGAGGAUGAUCAGCCACACUGGAACUGANACACGGUCCANACUCCUACGGGAGGCAGCAGUGGGGAAUAUUGCACAAUGGGGGAAACCCUGAUGCAGCCAUGCCGCGUGUAUGAAGAAGGCCUUCGGGUUGUAAAGUACUUUCAGUUGUGAGGAAGGCGUUGGAGUUAAUAGCUUCAGCGCUUGACGUUAGCAACAGAAGAAGCACCGGCUAACUCCGUGCCAGCAGCCGCGGUAAUACGGAGGGUGCGAGCGUUAAUCGGAAUUACUGGGCGUAAAGCGCAUGCAGGCGGUCUGUUAAGCAAGAUGUGAAAGCCCGGGGCUCAACCUCGGAACAGCAUUUUGAACUGGCAGACUAGAGUCUUGUAGAGGGGGGUAGAAUUNCAGGUGUAGCGGUGAANUGCGUANAGAUCUGAAGGAAUACCNNUGGCGAAGGCCGCCCCCUGNACAAAGACUGACGCUCAAAUGCNAAAGCGUGGGGANCAANCAGGAUUANAUACCCUGGNUNUUCCCNCCCGUAAACGAUGUCUACUUAAAGGUUGUNGCCUUAANCCNUGGCUUUCGNACCUACNCUUNANUNNNCCCCUGGGNAUACNNNCCANAAUNAANNCAANUNAUUGANGGGGNC
rnacentral:rRNA from 1 species